CACGUAGGGUGCAAGCGUUGUCCGGAAUCAUUGGGCGUAAAGAGCGUGUAGGCGGUCCGGUAAGUCGGCUGUGAAAGUCCAGGGCUCAACCCUGGGAUGCCGGUCGAUACUGCCGGACUAGAGUUCGGAAGAGGCGAGUGGAAUUCCCGGUGUAGCGGUGAAAUGCGCAGAUAUCGGGAGGAACACCUAUGGCGAAGGCAGCUCGCUGGGACGUUACUGACGCUGAGACGCGAAAGCGUGGGGAGCAAACAGG
rnacentral:rRNA from 1 species